AAGAUACAAUCCUUUGCACAGAAGCUCUCACAUAGGAGUAAAAGUAGUUUGUAAUCACAUUUUUUUUUCUUUUCCAGAUGGACAUAUAUCAUACUGAUUCUGUUGAUACAGUUGCUUCCAUACUAAGGAAGGUAAUGGUUUAGCUAGGUGGAUAAAACACAAGGAGUUUGUAUAUAUUAAGAAGCUCCAACAUGAGAGGGGAAAAUGGUGACUUGCUGAUAUUCUUAAUGUCAGGUUAUGGUGGCUUACUUCAGUGAAAGAAAAUCACUUGUAUCCACCCAUGUCGUUCUUUCACUCUCUUGUAUUUUCCUUUUACAUUCAGAUACCGCUUAGCUGCUCUUUAUCAGGGCAAAGUGUGAAGAAGUUUAGAGACUCAGGCCACGUGGAGACUGUCGUCAUCUUUGCUUAAAGUCCACUAGCUGGGAUCCUUUGAUGGUCCAGAAGUUCUCCUGGAGGGAUUGGCUGUUGAGCCAUAGCAUUUGUUCUGCUCAGUUCACCUAAAGCCUUACAUUCACAAUUCAUAAGUCUAAUUCCUAAACUGCAGCUGCAAGCUGCACUGUAGGCACCCAUUUCUAUCACAAGAGAAGAGGACUUAACUGCAGAAGAACUUAACUGGAGGAAAUCAACUGUGGCACUGGUUACUGAUACCUGGAAGCUGGUUUGCAGUUUUUCGGCCUGGCUGCUUGAGCACUUGUUGUGCAUGGAAUUGGAAAUCAGGGAUGUGAGAUGCUGGAAGAAUGAGACUACCCUGUGCUUCUGUCCUGCGGGCACAAAAUGCAAAAUAACUCUUUGAACAUUUAGAAAGAUUGUGCGCAUAGAACCUGAAGUUCAGAGUGAAACAAGCACACCACAGUGAACUAAGGAAGAAAUAGCAGGGUAUCUCUUAGAUCUUGGAUAUACAAGAGAGGACCAAGAACAUACCAACUGGUCUUGCAAGGUGUGUGUGACAACAUACUGCAUAUCAAAAUGCUUUAUGGUUUGUGUGGUGUUUCUUCAUUUCCUAGUGAAACUCAGCAACUUCUAGAGCAGAACACUCUUUGAUAAAAAUAUUUCAUUAAGAUUCAUGACUGAAUGCAGAGAGCACCUUGCUGGACUCCUGGUGUAAGGAUUGCAGGAUUGUAGUCGGCUAAGUCACUGUCCUUUCCUGACUAUGAGAAGACAUCACUUGUGGCUUUCUUCUGCUUGCUAUCCAGAAGAUUAGCAGAUCUAGCAUUAUGUGACUCUUCAGUUUCUGUGUUCUACAUACAAUUGUAAAUAACUAUUCUAUAUGCAAGGCAAUAGCAAAUCAUCCAGCACUGACCCCACCAGUCCGUGCUUGCUGUAGUGGUUUAGUUUGUGUGAAUCUACUUUACA